UUGAUGGCUUCUGGCGGGACCAAGGGAAGGACUCAGUUUUCUUUAAGGAGCUGGCCACUGGGAAUCUGACCACACUCCAGUGAGUUCAGCUGUACUCUGGCCUGAAGACACCUUUAAAUGAUUGCCAUGGAGAAACUACAGAACAACUCUCACACUAAGUUACAGCUGAUGUUAGGCAAGCCACAAGAGAGGAAACAUCUUAGCACUGGUCCUGGAGAAGCCAGAGCGCUAGAGGAUUUCUCGCUGUUACCACCCCCCCACCCCCCUGAAACAUUGCUUUGGGGAAUUCAAGCAAUGCACUGUUGUUUGUAAAUAAACCCCAGCCUGACCUUUC
rnacentral:lncRNA from 1 species